ACUGACGCACAGGGAGUGCUCAGGAUCAUGGAUGAUCGGCCAUUUGCAUGGAGUGCUGACGACAGGGAGUCGUAAUGGUCUUGGAAAAACCCGCUUCGGCGGGUUUUU
rnacentral:sRNA from 1 species